rnacentral:rRNA from 1 species
UACGUAGGGCGCAAGCGUUGUCCGGAAUUAUUGGGCGUAAAGCGCGUGUAGGCGGCGAUUUAAGUCGGGUGUGAAAGCCCUCAGCUCAACUGAGGAAGUGCGCCCGAAACUGAAUGGCUUGAGUGCCGAAGAGGGUGGCGGAAUUCCCCAAGUAGAGGUGAAAUUCGUAGAGAUGGGGAGGAACACCGGAGGCGAAGGCGGCCACCUGGGAGGUAACUGACGCUGAGACGCGAAAGCGUGGGGAGCAAACAGG